GAAUUUUCUGCCAAAAGUUCUUGCCACUGAGUCAUCACCAUCUUCAUAUUUUUAAAAAACAUGAGCAAGUCUCAGCAGCACUUCAUUCACAUUAGUAAACAUUACCUAGGGAAAGAAAGAACAGGCCUCAAGAACAUGACAUCAUCAUUAAAAAAUAAAUGUUUACUGAGUCCCUAUUCAGUGUGUGGCCCUGUGUUAGCCCUAGAAAUAUAAAAAUGUGCCUGCUUUUAGGCUCACAUGCACACACAUAUACUCCCAUGUGUUAAAUCUAGAGAAGUGGUGCAGACUAGAAGGAUUAUCGGAAUUCCAAGGAGGGAGCAAUUCUGCUCCAAGGGCUGGGGUGGUCACAAAAGUGUUAUUUGGGAGGACAGCAAGAAGAAGAUAGCUGGCAAGAUUACGUCCUACUGGAGAUGAAAAGGACCCUAAGAAAUGUUUACAUUGUAAUACAGACCCUUCAUGAUGUGGCCAGGCAUGUCAAGGCCAUACAGACAAGAGAAGACAAACAUUCAGCCUAGAUAUGGAGAGGCAGCUGAAUAUUUACAUUACCCAACAGAGCAAAGAUCCCUAUACCCAACUUCCUAACUCAACAUCUAGACUUGAAUGUCUCAUGGGUACAAACAUGCCUGAAGCUGAACUCAUCCUCCUUCUUUGAUCUCAGAAGAUAGCACCGCCAUCAACCCAGCUGCCCAAGGGAAAAUUCUGGGAGUCAACCUCUAUUCCUUCUUUCUCCCACUUCACAUUCAGUCAGUCAUCAAGUCCUGCCAAUUAAAUCUCCUAAAAAUUUUUGAAAUCCAUUCACUUCUCUCCAUCCUCAUUGCAACUGCCAUUCUUACUUCAGGCCCCCAAGUUCAGACCAACUUACUGAACUCACUGCCUCUGAUCUUGCCACCCUGUCUCAUCUCCAGUUCAGUUGGUCACAUUGCAAAAGAAUGCCAUUGAUUUUUUUCCAUACAGAUCUGAUCUUAUCACCUUUGUUUAAAACACUUCAAAGACCUUCAAGAAAAAAAUUAAACUCUUUAACAUGAUUUUCAAGGCCCUUCAUAAUCAGAUCUUGCUUUGACAGUGCUGUGUAAUGAUUAGACUUGAGCAAGACUGGCUGGGUUCAAAUCUCAGCUUUAACACUUUUAGUAGCUGUGUAACUUUGAGCAAGUUAACCUCCCUGUACUUGAGUUUUCUCAGCUAUAAAACGGAGUAAUUACAAUGCCUACCUUCCAGGGUUAUUGUUUUUUUUUUGUUUGUUUUUUUCUUUACAGCGUCUCACUCUGUCACCCAGGCUGGAGUGCAGCGACUCACUCUCGGCUCACUGCAACCUCUGCCUACCAGGUUCAAGCGAUUC
rnacentral:lncRNA from 10 species